CCGAUAGCGAACAAGUACCGUGAGGGAAAGAUGAAAAGAACUUUGAAAAGAGAGUUAAACAGUACGUGAAAUUGUUGAAAGGGAAACGAUUAAAGUCAGUCGUACUGACGGGGAAUCAACCUCUUGAGCGUGAAUCAGUGGGGACCAUGUUCUUACGAUAUUUGCGUUUUUUUGGUGUACUUUCUCGUAUUGUAGGUCAGCAUCGGUUUUGAUCGUCAUAAAAUG
rnacentral:rRNA from 1 species